AAAAAGAUGAUGAUAAGGACAAGUAACAAAGGAAACCGUUAUGUUCAGAGAGCUAAGGAAAGCUGAGAUCUUAGCCGUAACCCCUUUGCGAACUCACCUUUGAAUCAACUUUGUGAACUGAUCGAUAUAGAUCACAGUAAUAAAGUUCGGCCUUGGCCGUUACGCCAUGACGUGCAAUCUUUUACUGCACGUAUCGAGGUUUUCCUUUGUGAAAAGGAAAGCGAAGAUGGGUGGUACCACGAAGACUUCGUCCCAAAU
rnacentral:ncRNA from 1 species